CGCAUCUGUGCAUGCAGCAUAUCAAUAAGCGGAGGAAAAGAAACUAACAAGGAUUCCCCUAGUAACGGCGAGUGAAGCGGGAAGAGCUCAAAUUUGAAAUCUUAAAGGGUUUCCCUUUACGAAUUGUAGUUUAAAGAAGUGUUUUCUGUUGAGGUUUUGGUAAAAGUUCUUUGGAAUAGGACAUCAUAGAGGGUGAGAAUCCCGUAUUUGACCUUUACUUUCAACUUUGUGAUACACUUUCAAAGAGUCGGAUUGUUUGGGAAUGCAGUCCAAAAUGGGUGGUAAAUUUCAUCUAAAGCUAAAUAUUGGCGAGAGACCGAUAGCGAACAAGUACCGUGAGGGAAAGAUGAAAAGAACUUUGAAAAGAGAGUUAAACAGUACGUGAAAUUGUCAAAAGGGAAGCGUUUGACACCAGUGUUGUUUUUCUGAAAAUCAAUUAAAGAACUGUUUAUGCUAAGUUGUUUAGACUUUAUCAGCUAUCUGCUUAGUUUUGAGCUUUUCUUUAAUGCACUUUUCAGUUAACAAGUCAACAUCAAUUUCUUUUGCUGUAAAAAAGCUUGAGGAAGGUGGCUUGAGAUUCGUCUUAAGUGUUUAUAGCCUCUUGCCUAUGCAGUCGGAGAGAUUGAGGUCUGCAGCGUAGAUCCUUCGGGGCUAAAUGCAUUUGUGCUAAGUUAUAACAUUUUAUAGACAACUUGUUGACUAUGAUUUGUCUUGUAGCUUACUCGCUUAUGUUAUUUUACCUACGCUUAGGAUGUUGAGCGCAUGUCUCUCUCU
rnacentral:rRNA from 1 species